AGAGUGAGACUCUGUCUCAAAAAAACAAAACAAAACUUUUUUUUUUUCUUGAGAUACGGAGUCUAGCUCUGUCACCCAGGCUGGAGUGCAGUGGUGCGCUCUCAGCUCACUGCAACCUCUGCCUACCGAGUAGCUGGGAUUACAGGCACCCGCCAUCAUGCCCAGCUAAUUUUUGUAUUUUUAGUAGAGACGGGGUUUCACCAUAUU
rnacentral:lncRNA from 1 species